rnacentral:misc_RNA from 1 species
AUAAAGCACUUGAGGUGUGUGAUCAGAUUUAGCUAUAGCAUUUAUUGAGCAUCUUCUGCCUGCUAUUUUCUCGAAGAUCCAAAAAAAUACACUAGCCUUGGGAUGAGGAGUUGCAUUGAAUUUUGGAUCUCUUCAACUUGGCUUUGCUUAUUAAAUAGUGUGAGAUGUAUCAUCAGGAUAUUUAUAAGAGAGGAUCGCAGAAUUCAUGUAAUAAUUAAUGUAAAUUGUCAAACUGCUAUAUUUUGCAUUGAUAUGCUAUAUUCUUGUUAAAAGAGUGAUGUGCUUUGCCCA